ensembl:lncRNA
GUUUCGACGUGCUUUCCUGGCCGUUGCUUGCAGAGGAGGAGGUCGUCGCCUCGUAGCUGAGGAAGCACUCGCAGGCUUUCCCGUCUGAGGGAGCUGGACGGCGUUUGCGUUACUCUCUGCAGUGGCAGCUCAGGCUCUCGGGGCUGGAGGCCAAAGCAGGGGGGAGCUGGGCUGCAGCCCGCUCCAUUACAGUUCUAAGUUCUACGUGAUGAAAUAUCUGGUGUUGAGAACUUCAAAAAGGAGUUCCAAAUAGUCGGAUGCAGAAACCUAUGUGAAAAUAUCUGCUUUCAAAUUCAGGGAUUCAGCACGUGAACACUGGAAUCUAGUCUGAACUUCAGAAGAGCACUGUCCUGCUCCAGAUGUGGAGCCUACUGCUGGACACAGCACUCCAAAUGCAGCCUCACCCAUGCGGAGUAGCAGGGAAAGAUCACCUCCUUCAACUUGCUGGUGAUGCUCUUCCUAAUGCAAUCCAGGAUGCCUUUCUUGCUGCAAGGGAACAUUGCUAAUUCGUGGUCAGCUUAGCGUCCACCAAGGGAAGCACAAAGGGAAAAGGACAAAUUGUGGCAUAUAUCGAGAAACCAGAUUGCCAGUGUGUGAAAGAAAAAGGCAAACAUUAAUUAGGCUGAUCAUGAAGAGGUAUUGCUUGCUUUCCUUUGCCAUUAUUUUGGAAACCAGGACUGGAGCUUUCAGGCUAGGACAGAAAAGAAGAAGUGGGAAUUACAGACAGAGAGUAUCAUCUCUGUGGCCUGGAAGAUCAUGAAGCAGAUCCUUCUGGAGGUACAUGCAAGAUAAGGAGGUUAUCUGAAACAGCCAGCAUGGCUUCACCAAGGGUAGAUGGUACCUGACCAAUCUGGUGGUCUUCUGUAAUGGAGCAACAGCAUCAGUGGACAAAAG